AUGGAGAGGUUUCUGACUGCGCUUGUCUUCUGCGAGGCGCCCCUCGAUGGCUACAGCACAUCCGUGAUGAUAUCCUCCAGGGCAAUCAAGCCACUGGUGUUUGCUUGCUCAAUAAAGCUGGCGGCUCCUGCGCCCAAGGCUGAUGAUGCGUACCCCGGGAAGAAGCCUGGAUUCUACGGCGAGACCACGACGCACCGACGUGCUGGGUAUGAGCUUGCGUUCGAUGGUCUCAACUGCUUCGAUACCGUCGUCAUGCACCAACAAUGA
rnacentral:rRNA from 1 species